GGAGAGGUGACCGAGAGGCCGAUGGUGCUCGCCUGCUAAGCGAGUGUAGUGUAUGCUACCGGGGGUUCGAAUCCCCCCCUCUCCG
rnacentral:tRNA from 1 species